GCAUGCUCACUUUGGCAUUGCAUAUGCUAAAACUGGAAUGAUAUAGAGAAGAUUAGCAUGGAGCUUGCAAAAGGAUGACAUGCAAAUUCGUGAAGCAUUCCAUAUUUUU
rnacentral:snRNA from 1 species